UUGAACGCUGGCGGAAUGCUUUACACAUGCAAGUCGAGCGGCAGCGCGGGGGCAACCUUGGCGGCGAGCGGCGAACGGGUGAGUAACAUAUCGGAACGUACCCAGACGUGGGGGACAACUAGUCGAAAGACUAGCUAAUACCGCAUACGUCCUGAGGGAGAAAGCGGGGGAUCGCAAGACCUCGCGCGUUUGGAGCGGCCGAUAUCUGAUUAGCUAGAUGGUGGGGUAAAGGCUCACCAUGGCGACGAUCAGUAGCUGGUCUGAGAGGAUGAUCAGCCACACUGGAACUGAGACACGGUCCAGACUCCUACGGGAGGCAGCAGUGGGGAAUUUUGGACAAUGGGGGAAACCCUGAUCCAGCCAUUCCGCGUGAGUGAAGAAGGCCUUCGGGUUGUAAAGCUCUUUCGGCCGGGAAGAAAUCGUGGUCUCUAACAUAGGCCAUGGAUGACGGUACCGGACUAAGAAGCACCGGCUAACUACGU
rnacentral:rRNA from 1 species